CAUGUUUGCAAAGCAUUUUGAGGAUAAUUGAAAUUGAAAUACUUUAUUGUCACUUGUACAACUUGUAUACUGUACAGUGAGAUUACACAAGCACCCCCCACUCAGCUCUCUUAGUCUUAAUUCCCCUCGUUUACUGACGCACACCCACCAAACCCGAAAGUCAGUUGCCCUGUUGUUCUCUUUUCAUUCAGCAGCCUAACAGCCCACGGAUAGAAACUGUUCUUCACCCUGUGCUUCUAUAUCUUCUGCCCGAGGGCAGGAGAUCAAGUAAGUGCCAACCAGGGUGUGAAUCAUCCCUGAGAAUUUUCCUCACUCUCCUGAGGCAACAUUCUUCCGUCAUGUCAUCCAGUGGACUUGCGGGACAGCCCAUAUCUUGUGCUGUAUUCACCACCCUCUGUAGGCACUUCCUAUCAGAUGAUGUCAAACCAGCGUCCCACACUGUGAUGCAGUAGGAAAGGACACUUUCUAUUGUGGACCAGUAGUAGAUCAUCAAAUGUUGAUUUGACAUCGUUCUUUUGCAAUACUAUGAGGAGAUGGAGUCUUAAUCACCUGGGUUGUACUGAUUUUCCAAGUAAUAUCGCUUGCAUCCACCAACACCUUGACUCUGCUGUUAUAGCAGAUGAAUCUCAUGGGGUGUCCAGAGCACAGUCUAGUUCUGUUGUGUUGGAUGAGUUUCCGUUGCUAAGGCUUGAGGAUGUGGACAAGGUGCUUGGAUCAGUCAGGGCGACCACUUGUGCUCUGGACCUUUGCCCCCCUUGGCUGAUAAAACCAGCAGGGAGGGAAGAGCUGACUGGGCCAAGGAGGUGAUCAAUGCCCCUUUACAAGAGGGGGUGUCCCUGCCUGUUUGAAAGAGGCAGUGGUAAAACCAUUCCUUAAGAAACCUAGCCUGGAUUUGGAAAACCUACCUAAACACCAGCCAGUUGCUAAUCUCCCUUUCCUGGGCAAGGUUCUGGAUUGAGUGGUCGCAGACCAGAUCCAGGCGCUUUUGGAAGAAACGGAUUUUCUGAAUCCAUUUCAAUCGGGGCUUAGGCCUGGUUUUGGCACAGAAGUUGCUUUGGUUGCCCUAUAUGAUGACCUCUGUCGAGAGAGAGAGACAAGGGAAACGUGUCCCUGUUAAUUGUUCUCGACCUCUCAGUGGCUUUCUAUACCAUUGAGCAUGGUAUCCUUCUGGAGUGACUCUAGGGGUGGGUGGUGCCGCUAUACAGUGGUUCCAGUCCUACUGAGAUGGUCGUUCCCAGAGGGUGCUACUUGGGGAGUGCUUUUCAGCCCUGUGGAACCUUCAAUGUGGGGUUCCACAGGGCUCAAUCUUUUGUAUGUGUGUGUGUGGUUACUUUAGAUUUUUGUUUUAAUUUUUUUUAUUAUUUAUAGUUAUACAUCAUACAAACAAGCAUUGAAUAAAACAAACAAAUAAUACAAAACCAGAAGAAAGUACAAAAGCAAAAUUACAAGGAUAUAAACAUAAUAACAUAAACUACAAUUGAAAAUAUAAAACAUCAUAUUCUCCUAAAAAUAAAAAGAACGAAAAAUAAUACAAAAAAGGAAGCUUCACUACAGGUGCUCUGUGUGACUUAAGCUUCACUGCACACAUCACAUUCCACAACCUUAGAACAUGGUUUCAAUGUGAUUCCCUUCACACAACCCUGGCAUUUUAGCAACAGUUCUAAAAUUGACACGAGCUAAUCUUCUGUGGUAUAUAAAUGAACACAUUGAUUAUGAGGAGCACAAUUAGCAAUUGUGGAUUUUGCAUGGCUUGGCUUGCUACCUCAUCCUUCUUAAGAGUGCGCUCCUGAGGUUCGGUCACAUGUAAGGAAUCUUGCAAAUGUCCUGUAGCAUAAAACUCUUCCCUUUUUCUAAUUUCACAUGCAUCACCAUCAAAACAUAUUUCAAAUCCUGAUGUUGCCAAGUUAAUCAGACUCAACAAAUUAGACUCCAGUUGUGGAACAUAAAAAACCUCAAGCACUUCAUUCCUUAAACACUUAAGCUUUACCUUUCCAAUGCCAGAUACAGGAAUGUUACCACCCCAGCUAAUGCCAUAGAUAUUUCACAUAGACAUUUCACAUAUAGUUCAAAAAGUCAAAUUGUGUCUUAUACACGUGACCCGAUGCUCCCAAGCCCAAGACCCAUCAACCUGAAGUAUUACUCAGUCUUGUGAUUAAGGCUUUCUUCGUCUCGGUGUCACAAUUUCCAACUUUUGUUCUCCAUCUUGCACCCCAGUCUAGUUUCUCUUGCUUGUCCUGUGUUUUCUUCUUCUGUAGCAAUGGACAGUCUUUCUUCAGGUGCUCUUUUGAGUCAGAAUUAACGCAUUUCCUCACUUUCAAGGCUGUAACUUCAACAGUAGUCGCUGUUGUAAACCUGCCACCACGGCAUCUCCUUGAAGAUUUCCUGCCUAUUAGCACUGACUAUCUCUGCUAUCAGCCCAUUCCCGGAGCUUUCCCCAUUCAGUCAGCAAUUUUCCUGUUACCCCAUUCAGCGGUCAGGUCCUCUUCAUCUUUGCCUUCUACUAAAGUUGAAAUGGCAUAAUUUUCAUCAAAGCUUGACAGGAUUAUGUAUAUUUGGGAUAUGGGUGUGAAGCUGAAUCCAUGCCCCAAAAGAUCUCCAAGUGUCUGCAAGUGGUCAGGCAAAGACACCCCCUGGCUUUAAAUGUUGCUGGUAUAAUUUGUGAGUCAGUAAAACUUUACUGCCCCGGGUCACACUAAGAUAAACAUUCUGCAAGGCUUUCUAUAUUGUUUUGGUUGUUGUUUGAAACCGGAUAAUUGAGAUCUGUGAAGCCUCAACUCCCAAAGUAAUACUUGCCUGUGCUUUCCCAUCAUACAUUUGCCAUUUUUCAAAGUCAUCAUCAUCAUCUUCAUCAUCUGCAGGAUCAUUUGGACGACAGUGAAUGCCACAAGGUUGAAGCAGAUGGAUAUUUGUGGAUGCAAACUGGUUGACAUUCACCUUUGGAAGCCCAUUGACAGAAGUUGGCAGGCCGAAGCCAAGGACAAAGUUGCCGGGCAGAAGCCAGUGGAGGUGUCUGGGAGGAUGCUGUCAGAUAGUAGCCAUCCCACUCAGUUGUUUGCCUUUCAGGGACAUACGAAGCCGGCGAGGUUUUCCCUGAGACCAUCCAUGGAAGUCAUGAAGAGAACCGCAGGGCUUAAGCCAGCCAGCUUCUGUUUCCUAAACAACUUAAUGCCUUUCUAAAUUA